ACUCUCAUUUUGAUAAGUGAUAACCCACUAACCCUAGACUUCUAUUCUUCUCUUGUGUAAACACAGUAGCCACCGCACUCACAGUCGAUUCACCAUUUUAUCUUCCUCGGACAAGAGCAAGGUGGUUGAAGACAACAACUUAGGUCUCAAAUCUCAGAAUGCAGCAGCUUCAGUCUCAUAACUUGGACAAGGGAAGGGUCGAACGCAGUAGAUUUGAUAGAACAAGGGCAGAUCAAGUUUAUUCCAUUUUCAACUGAUUCAUCUGCAAGCCCAUUCAUGGAUAAUGCUACUAAAAAUGUUGAUGAGGCAAAUCAAAACAAAGAAAAAGAUGUCAUUGAGGCAAAUGAAGAGGAGGAAAAUCCAUUUGUUUCAAAGAAAAGGAAGCGAACAUCUAAGGUAUGGGUUGAGUUUAAAGAAGUUACUCUUCUCGAUGGAACAGUGAAAGUAGAGUGCAUUCACUGCAAACACCAACUGGGAGUUAACAAGAUUGGUGCCACAACACACUUUCUAAGACAUUUAAAGAUUUUUCCAAAAAGGAAAAGUGAAUUUGAAAGGUCAACAACAACUUAGUAUCACUACAACACUAGCUGAGACAGAAAGUGUGACUUCUAUUCAUAAUUUUAAAUAUGACCAUGCUAAGAUAAGAAAAGUCCUUGCCCAUAUGAUUCUUGUUCAUGAGUUGCCAUUUCUUUUUACAAAGUAUGAGCUUUUCAAUUUGUUAAUGAGAACUGCAACUUCAUAUUAUCAAAAGAUUAGUCGUGCAACUGUAAGAAAGGAUUGUUUCUCCACUUAUGAUAUUGAGAAACAAAAAAGUGAAGGAUUUGCUAAAGCAUGUUGACAAACUUAGUGUAACCAUAGAUUUAUGCAAGUCAGGUCAGCAGGUUUCAUACAUGGUUGUUACUGCACACUUUUUGGACUCCAACUGGAAUUUGCAAAAGCAUACUUUGAACUUUUGUGAUGUUCCACCACCUCAUACAGGAGUUGUUAUAUGUGAUGUGCUGCAAAAAUACUUAGUUGAAUGGGGAAUUGAAGAUAAGGUAUGGACUGUUUCUGUUGAUAAUGCUGCGUAUAAUGAUGCUGCUAUUAGAAUGUUGAAGGAUAAUCUUACUUAAAAGAAUAGUCUUGAAAUUAAUGGUAAGUUAUUUCAUGUGAGGUGUUGUGCACAUAUCUUAAAUUUAUUGGUGCAAGAUGGGUUAUCUAAGAUUGAAGAUAUAGUUUUCAAUGUGCGUGAAAGUGUGAAGCAUCUUGCAAAAGCUGAGUCUCGUUGGUUGAUUUUUAACGAAAUUGCAAAGUAAUUGAAAUUGCCUUCAAAGAAGCUUAUUUUGGAUUGUGGCACAAGGUGGAAUGCAACAUAUUUCAUGCUAUCUGUUGCAUUGGAGUUUAAGGAUGUCUUCCCUUGAUAUCAGCAAAGAGAUCCAACUUACACUUUCUUACCUAGUGAGGAAAAUUGGGAAAAAGUGAAGGAAGUUUGCUCUUUUCUUAAAGAAUUCAAUGAAGUUACUAGAGUAAUUUCAGGUGCUAAAUAUCCAACUUCAAACUUAUUCCUUGCUGAACUUUAUAAUAUAAAGAAAUUGUUAAAUGAAACACAUGAGAAUGCAGGCUACAUGCAAGCCAUGGUUAGCAAGAUGAAAAAGAAAUUUGAUAAGUAUUGGGGUGAUUGUAAUUUGUUGAUCUCUAUAGUAGCUAUAUUGGACCCAAGGAACAAGAUGAAAUUGGUUGAGUGGUGUUUUCCAGAGAUUUAUUCUACAUCUGAUGCUAUUAAGCAUAUGACUAUUGUUCAAGAGACUUUGUGCAUGCUUUAUAAUGAGUAUGUUGAAGCUUAUAGAGUAAAAAAUUUUGACAUAGAAAUUAGUGCUGCUGAAAACCAAAGGGAAGGAUCUAGUUGUAAUAUUAGUGGGAAAGGAAAAGUUAGAGGGAAAGCACAAUUUUAUAGUUAUAUCAGGAAUGUUGAUAAUAUAAUUGAGCACGUGAAAUCUGAAUUAGAUGUGUAUUUGGAAGAUGGUGUUCAUAUUUGUGAAGAUGAUGAAAAAUUUGAUGCAUUAGAAGGUGGAAAAUGAACAACAUGAAAUACAGGAUAUUAUCAAAAAUGGCACGUGACAUACUAUCAAUUCCUAUUACAAUUGUAGCUUCAGAAUCAGCGUUGAAUGCUGGAGGUAAAGUUAUUAAUCCACAUAGAGCAGCCUUGGGAGCAAAAACUAUUCAAUUUUUAACUUGUGGAUCUGAUUGGUUACGAGCUUUCUAUGGGAUACAAAGAAAAAGAAAGGUAAAUACAAUAAUAUAUUACACUUCAGUCUUCAAUAGGACAUGGUAGCAUACAAUUAACUUUUAUAAUUUAUUUGUUAUUGUGAAAGGACAAGGAGGAAAUUCAAGAGAUCAUACUACAUUAGUGGUUUGGAAUAUUUUUGCUUUCAAUUUUCAGGUUGCAUGGAUGCAAAAAUCACAUCAAAUUCAAGCUUUAGGCAAGACCUAUCCAAUCAUUUUAGUGAUUUAAUCCUAGGAUUUGUUAUUUUAUUGAACUUUUUUAAUUUUAUUUAAAUUAUGGUGGUGUUGUAAUUUGUGUUAUUUUCAAAUUAGUUGUAAUGUGUUAUAUCUUUUUUUUUUCUUGUUAAUUUGUAUUAUUAAAGGUUAUAGACUCAUUAGUAAUUUAUUUUGAAAGUAA